UGAAAGAGCAGCCUGACUAUUGCUAACCGGAUGCCAGAUUUUCAUAGCAUGGAAUGAACGAGCAACAUUUUCCUGAUUAACAGAAGUAACCAGAAAUGAAUUCUGGCUUUAAGGACAUCGAAACAAGAAUUAUUACCGUCCUCAUUUCUAUUGGAAUGAACAUCCAUAGUUCACUGCAUGAUGAUGAACGUCGAAUGUAACAAAUUGAAAAAGAACUCUAUACAGGUCAAGAACUCUUUUUAUAUUAUGUGGAAUGUUCCUAAUUUGAACACUUUACGCAUUAAUUGCCUACACAUGUUAAUCUUGACUUAUGCAGAAAUUUUAGAUCGUUGAUAUUAGUUUCAAUCUUACUUUUCUUAUAAUAAUAAGCCUUAAGAAUUCUUUUUUAACAAGAUAUAAUUAAAAACAUUUCAGUUAAAUUUUGACCACAAUAUUCCUAAACUCUAUAGAAAGUCAAAGAGCAAACAGAUGUUCAUAAAUUUUAACUUUUUAUUUUUAACCAUUUUCCUUAAUGUGUCAAAUUACAAGAUUCCAAUAAAUAUUGGUAAAAGCAAAUACUGUUAGAUGCAAAAAUAUCAUUUUAUAAUAAAAAUAUAGGGCAUAUAAAGAACAUCUCUAAGUACGCUAAUUUCCUCAUCCAAUAGCAAAAUUUGUGAAGAACUUCUUUCCUUACCCAAUUUUUAAACUCUGAUUUAAGAUGUUGUGAGACGUUUUAUGAAGUCAUCGAGAAGAAUGUAAGAUUUUAACUCUGCUCAGAUAUUUUGUCUUUCAAGUUAUCCUUUGCUCUAGUAUAAUUGAAAACAUCGGGCGAUCACUCAGUCUUCGGAAUUGCUUAAUUAAGUGUUCAUUUCGCCAAACUUAUCCAAAUUUAGAUUGUUGACACAAAAAUUAGACGCAAUUAGCAUUCUUAUUGUGAAAGUAAUAAAAUUCAGUGCUUUCAAAUAAAAACAUUCAUUGUAAUUCUUUAUUAGCGUUUUUUUUCUUGAUUCAACUUUAAGUUAAAAAGGGUGUGAUUCGGAAAACAAUUAAUUCAAUUAAUAAUUAAAUUUAAAAUGUCAAGCAAUUCUCAAAGUUUUUGCUGGAAAUUUUGGUAUUUUUACAGAUGCACAAAACAGACUAAAAAUGCUUUUGAAGUUAUAUUUAAUAAUUCAGAAGUAUCUGAUUUUGAAUAUCAGAAACUGGACUUAUAUUUACGUCGUUCGGUACCAAGUUUAUAGAACGAAUUUUUAAUGAAACAAUUUUAGGGCACUUAUAAAACAUUCAAUUUGUCUGCUUUCACA